AGAGUUUGAUCCUGGCUCAGAAUCAACGCUGGCGGCGCGCUUAACACAUGCAAGUCGAGCGAGAAAGGGGAGCAAUCCCUGAGUAAAGCGGCGUACGGGUGAGUAACACGUGGAUCAUCUACCUUUUAGUGGGGAAUAACCCUGGGAAACCGGGGCUAAUACCGCAUAAUCCUGUGAAGGGAAAGCAGCAAUGCGCUGAAAGAGGAGUCCGCGGCCGAUUAGCUAAUUGGUGAGGUAAUGGCUCACCAAGGCGAUGAUCGGUAGCCGGCCUGAGAGGGCACACGGCCACACUGGCACUGAAACACGGGCCAGACUCCUACGGGAGGCAGCAGUGGGGAAUCUUGCACAAUGGAGGCAACUCUGAUGCAGCGACGCCGCGUGAGCGAUGAAGCCCCUCGGGGUGUAAAGCUCUUUCGGCAGGGACGAUAAUGACGGUACCUGAAGAAGAAGCUGCGGCUAACUACGUGCCAGCAGCCGCGGUAAUACGUAGGCAGCGAGCGUUGUUCGGAAUUACUGGGCGUAAAGAGUGUGUAGGCGGUGCUAUAAGUUCGGUGUGAAAUCUCCCGGCUCAACUGGGAGGGUGCGCCGAAAACUGUAGUGCUCGAACGUGGGAGAGGAAAGCGGAAUUCCUGGUGUAGCGGUGAAAUGCGUAGAUAUCAGGAGGAACACCUGCGGUGUAGACGGCUUUCUGGACCAUUGUUGACGCUGAGACACGAAAGCGUGGGUAGCAAACAGGAUUAGAUACCCUAGUAGUCC
rnacentral:rRNA from 1 species